GAUGAACGCUGGCGGCGUGCCUAAUACAUGCAAGUCGAGCGAAGCGGGGACGGGUGAGUAACACGUGGAUAACCUCCUAUAAGACUGGGAUAACAUCGGGAGACAUGGGCUAAACCGGAUCCUUAUAGCUGGAUUCGCGCUGCAUUAGCAAGUUGGUAAGGUAACGGCUAACCAAGGCAACGCUGCAUAGCCGAUCUGAGAGGGUGAUCGGCCACACUGGAACUGAGACACGGUCCAGACUCCUACGGGAGGCAGCAGUAGGGAAUCUUCCGCAAUGGGCGAAAGCCUGACGGAGCAACGCCGCGGGAGUGAUGAAGUUCUUCGGAUCGUAAAGCUCUGUUAUUAGGGAAGCGGUACCUAAUCAGAAAGCCACGGCUAACUACGUGCCAGCAGCCGCGGUAAUAC
rnacentral:rRNA from 1 species